rnacentral:rRNA from 1 species
AUGCCCAAGACCCACGGUGAAGCGCCUUCGAAGGGGGUGUGGAUCUCACCGAACCCUCACAUGAAGCAGGAGCAACACGAUGCACGGUGCCGAGGCGGGACACAUGCGGCACAUCAAGGCAUGAUAAUGAGCUUAGAGGACGCCAGGGGUUGCGACAUUCACGCGCACGAUGACCAUUCUCCAAACAACGGGAGCACCGCAACGGAUCUCUGCAAACAACCGCACGAUGCCCAUAAGCAAGGCAUCUACAGCAUCUACCAUGGAGCCAAGCAGGGAUGGGACGAGGAGGACGAGGAGCCAUCAUCGAGGAUGGCGACGAAGUCGAACGACGCGGGCCGCGCCGCGGUAGCACCUCCUGCCAACCCUCACUUGUUCGUCGUGGCGUACAUUCGUAUUGGCCUGAAAGGCCAGUGUGCCGUCGUCCUUCUUGGCGGCUUCGUCUCCGAUCCGAGGAACGUAGAUUUCCACUAUCUGACCAUCAUCGCAUUCAUGCAGGCUGCCGGGCAAGAUUAUGGCAUCGCCAAGGGAGAUGCAAGUAAAGCAAAUCUGAAGCCGGCGCUGAACUUAUUCUACGGCGUAUCCUUUGCUCAGGGCGCAAUAUUCUUAUUGUGUACAGCCAUUGUUGAGCGAUGGCUAAAUGAUAUUUUAAGCCAACGCCAUGGUUUCAGCCAUGUACUUCGUGGAUACUCGCGCAAAACCAUGCACAUGGGUCUAAAUGACCCCGCUUCCAUAAGGAGCUGGAAUUUGAUCACAUAUGGUGCUGACUUGCUGGAUUCCCAAUGUUUGAAUGACUAUGCAGCUGGAGCACGGGUACUAGCCAUGCUGAUUGAUCAUGAUAUACCGUUACAGAUAAGACGGCUCUUGAUCAGCUCCAAUGAAUUUGUAGAAGAUAUCAAGAGUAGUGUUGCAUGGACCAAGGUAGUAGACGUAUCACUCAAAGUGGUGACCCGGCUCAUGGGUUCACCAGGAAGCACAGGCAAAGAGAUGCGAAGUCUAAUUGCAAAUGCUAGUCGUGUGGUCAGAAACCUGGAGGCCGUUCUGGACAUCGACAUGAAGAGUAACAGCAGCAUCAUAUGGCUACUGACGGGAGCUUUAGAAGCUCUUACACGAUUAGCAUUGCAUCAUCCAGAAAGUGCGUCUGCAGGAAAACUUAUUGAGAGAGCACUGCACAUAUUUCUUUCUACAGAUUGGUUGGAAGAUUAUUUGAAAUAUGAGAAGAACGUGAUGAAAGAAGCUAAGAAAACUGUAAACCAGCUUAAACAAUAUGCUGGUUUUGUAUUGGAAAUGCUAUCCAAUCAUCCAGAGGCUAUCAAGAGCUUCACAGUAUGUGAUGAUGAUAUCCAUCGUCUUACAAAAUUGCUUGACUGCAAUAUCAAGACCACUGAAUUCAAAAUAAGUGCAACAGAUAUAGUGGAAAUAGAGAUCGACAUUGAUUAUCGUAUUAGCGCAGCAUUAAUCUUGAAGCAUUUGAGCAACUACGUCAAAUUGCCAACCUUACGGAAGGCACUCAGGCAAUUGCUUCAAGAUGAGGCUUCCACUUUAAAGUGCCACAUCAAGAACAGGAUGAUGCAGGCAGCACUGUUAUCACUCGUCGUGACCAUAUGUGCAAACACCAGUAUUAAUCUUGCAGGAAUCUUACUUUUGCAGACACCAUCAGACACCCUGGAAGAUUUUCUGGUGACGCUCAAGAAGAUGGUGGAUGAAAACAUGUACGCCACCCCUACAUGCCUGGCGAUACAGAAGCUUACCUGCCAGAUGGUUAAAGAAUUCAUGAAGCAUGAUCGAAACAUCCAAGUGAUUGAUAAGCACAAUAUUGUUGGCACGUUACUGAAGGCUUCAAAGAUGAUGGCCGAGCUCGAGAGCAGCAUGCAUUUCGCUGCUGCCAUUCGUGAUCGCUACGAGAUUAUGGUAAAAGUUCGAAACAGGUGCAGAGAGACCGGGAAUUUUAUCCUUCCCUUAUCUAAAAGAACUGCAACCGCUUGUGUAUUAAGAUUCCAAUCCAUCUUCUGCAUCAAGGCAAGAUCCAAGUCUAUAUUGCGCCUACCAGUGUACGAGUUCAGCUUGGAGCUGCCAACUAAUGUCCUGCCCAAUUACAAUACAAUUCUCACCCACGUGCCACUUCUGUUGAGACUUGCUUAA